AUUACUUGUUCUUUCAUUAUUAUUCAUCAUUUUAACACCAUUACAAAUCCUUUGAACUUUAUUUCAAUACUCCUUCAGUAAGUUUUUUUUUGUUUAAUAUAAAUUUUGGAAUCAAAUGACAGUUUUGUAGCUACAGAUGGAAAAUAAUUGAAAUAUUAUUUGCAAAUCUUUAUUUUUAUUGGAAAUUAAAUUUAAGAUAUAUUGAAUAAAUUUACCCGUCAUAUUAUUUUGUAAUUUUACCAUAAAUCAUCUACAAAAACUGACAGGUGCUGCCUAGCAGCCCACUGUUCAAUAAAAAAAACAAUGCUAAAUUACAUUACCAUGUGAUGAAAAUUAACUUUAUUGUCUUAACUUUUAUCACCAGUAAAAAAGGUCCAGAAUGUACAUUGUAUCAACUUGUUACUGUUCCCACCCAAAAACUCCCAAUCAUACUAUUAAACUCAGUCACGAGUAAGACAAAGAAAAUAAAAUCUAAUAAAUUGUAUUGCAUUUUUCAUACCCAGACCAAGUCCUUUACUAUUUUACAACAUUGUGAAACUGCAAUACAUCUCAUAGCUUUUGACACAAUGCAUGGAAUAUGAUUUGCUGCCAAGCACUACCACUUCACAGUAAAGGCCACUGGCUCUCUGUCUGCUUACAUUUACAUGUGCAAUGUCUCACGUACCUGAUAAUAACUUUAAAAAGAUUUAGAGAUCUUAAAUUUACUGUUUUUCUCUCCGCGAUCUUUUGUAGGCUGGAAUGGACGAUGGCCAUAGACACAAAUGGACUUCCUCCCCCUUCAAAACUCUUUGAAGAUUGAAAAGGAACACAAGAGGCAGCAUAGAGAGAUGGCCACAGCUCAUCCCACAAUCGAUAGCAUCUACACAAGGUGCUGCCUGAAGAACACGGCAUCUAUCUUCAAGGAUUCCCACCCCUUCCAAUCCAAACCAUACCCUCCUCUCGCAUCAAGCAAGAGGUACAGAAGCCAAAGUCCCGCACCACCAGUUUUGGGAACAGCUACUUGCCUAUAACGAUCAAGUUCUUGAACCAAUUUGCACAACCCUAAUUCUACCUCGACAUCAGAACACUUCAUGGAGUAGGGUUUUUUUUCUAAUUGUUAGACCGAAGUCUGCUUUUUUUUUUAAAAAAGUCAAUUAUUUUAGAAAGUUUAGGUAUAAUUUGCAUAUAAUUUGUUUUUGUGUUUUGUAUGAGUAUGUGCGUCUGAUGCUGAUGCUGAUGCAAGCAAGUAAACCAGAUUUGACUUGUCAUUAGUGGAUCAUGUUAUACCUACAUUGAUCGAAAAAUGCCUAAAGUGUAUGUGACAUUUUGUAGCACGUUUAUUUCACAAAACAAGGAAUAAAACAAGGUUCCAAUGUG